rnacentral:rRNA from 1 species
GACGAACGCUGGCGGCGUGCUUAACACAUGCAAGUCGAACGGAAAGGCUCCUGCUUGCCGGGGUACUCGAGUGGCGAACGGGUGAGUAACACGUGGGUGAUCUGCCUUGUACUCUGGGAUAAGCUUGGGAAACUGGGUCUAAUACCGGAUAAUAACUGCCUUUAGUGUGGUGGUUGGAAAGUUGUUUCGGUGCAAGAUGAGCUCGCGGCCUAUCAGCUUGUUGGUGGGGUAAUGGCCUACCAAGGCGUCGACGGGUAGCCGGCCUGAGAGGGUGUACGGCCACAGUGGGACUGAGAUACGGCCACGACUCCUACGGGAGGCAGCAGUGGGGAAUAUUGCACAAGGGGCGGGAGCCUGAUGCAGCGACGCCGCGGGGGGGAGGACGGACUUCGGGUUGUAAACUCCUUUCGACAGGGACGAAGCUUUUUGUGACGGUACCUGUAGAAGAAGCACCGGCUAACUACGUG